AAAGACUUGUUGAAAUUGGGUCCCAAAUGGGCUAAGAACUCAAAAACAUUGCGUUGAACAACUAAAUUAGUUAUCUAGUGUUAUUUGGGGUUCGAAUAUGUUAGAAUACAAUAACUUUGAUUGAUUACAUGUGCUAGAGAUGCAUGAAGAGUAUUUAGAAGUGUGUAGAAAAACGUGUUGAAAUUUGGUCCCAUAUGGGAUAAGAACUCGGAAACAUUGCGUUGAACCAAUAAAUGACUUAUCUAGUGUUAUUUGGUGUUAUAAUAUGUUAUAAAACUAUAAAUUUGAUUGAUUACAAGUGCUAGAGAUGCAUGAAGAGUGUUUUCAAGUAGGGAAAAAGACUUGUUGAAAUUGGGUCCCAAAUGGGCUAAGAACUCGAAAACAUUGCGUUGAACAACUAAAUUAGUUAUCUAGUGUUAUUUCAGGUUAGAAUAUGUUAGAAUACAAUAACUUUGAUUGAUUACAUGUGCUAGAGAUGCAUGAAGAGUGUUUAGAAGUGUGUAGAAAAACUUGUUGAAACUUGGGUCCCAAAAUGGGACUAAGUACGUCGGAAACAUUGCGUUGAACCACUAAAUGACUUAUCUAGUGUUGUUUGGGGUUAGAAUAUCUUAGAAUACAAUAACU
rnacentral:lncRNA from 1 species